UUUACCUUCUAAAUCCAUUGACAAUGGCUCUGUCAUCUCCUAUAGCGCUCUUAUGUGGUUUACAGCUGGUUAUAGAUUUGCACUUACGAACUCUUCAGUGUAACAAGUGCGCCUGCGUGAAAUUCCAAAGCUUACUUGUUUCCAAGUGUCGAUUCUUGCGGCAUCUUGGUAGAAAUGUUGAUGUUUAUUUAAUCUACAGAACACUCCAAUCGGGAAAAAACCCAGACAGAACCAGGAUGAAAAGAGUAUUCAGUUUGAGUAACAAGACCUUUGGUGGCCAAGGAACAAUCACAUACAGUUGGCAAAAAGCCUUGGGGAACUACUUGGCAACUACAGGAGCUGACCACAUUGUCAGAAUUUAUGACAGACAUGGGGAGAUGAAGGAGGAAAUUAGCUUACCAGGAAUGUGCACUGGUAUGGGCUGGGACAGAGAUGGAGAUACACUGGCAGUCAUCAAUGACAAGAAUGGAGUUGUCACCCUUUGGGACGCUAACACCAUGAGAACCAGCCAACUGGAUAGUGGGCUAAGAGAUCAGAUGACCUUUCUCUUGUGGGCCAAGGCUGGUCCUUAUCUAGCAAUUGGAACCUUCAAAGGAAACCUUAUGAUCUAUAAUCAUCAAACAUCAAGGAAGGUGCCGAUCCUGGGGAAGCACACGCGGCGGAUCACCAGUGGGUCGUGGAGUAAUGAGAAUCUGCUGGCCCUGGCCAGUGAUGACAACACCAUCUCCAUCAGUAAUGUAGAGGGGCGACACAAUUCGACAGACCUCCGUCAGGGCCAACCCACAGAAUGUCCAGUUCUCCGAGAUGAAGGGCGACGAGCGCAGUCAGAUGGGAGAGAAUACGGUAAACACUUCUCAGCUGACCACAUUGUCAGAAUUUAUGACAGACAUGGGGAGAUGAAGGAGGAAAUUAGCUUACCAGGAAUGUGCACUGGUAUGGGCUGGGACAGAGAUGGAGAUACACUGGCAGUCAUCAAUGACAAGAAUGGAGUUGUCACCCUUUGGGACGCUAACACCAUGAGAACCAGCCAACUGGAUAGUGGGCUAAGAGAUCAGAUGACCUUUCUCUUGUGGGCCAAGGCUGGUCCUUAUCUAGCAAUUGGAACCUUCAAAGGAAACCUUAUGAUCUAUAAUCAUCAAACAUCAAGGAAGGUGCCGAUCCUGGGGAAGCACACGCGGCGGAUCACCAGUGGGUCGUGGAGUAAUGAGAAUCUGCUGGCCCUGGCCAGUGAUGACAACACCAUCUCCAUCAGUAAUGUAGAGGGCGACACAAUUCGACAGACCUCCGUCAGGGCCAACCCACAGAAUGUCCAGUUCUCCGAGAUGAAGGGCGACGAGCGCAGUCAGAUGGGAGAGAAUACGGUUAGUGUUGUCAUUGGGAAAAAGACUCUGUUUCUGUACAACUUGAAUGAUCCAGAGAAUCCCAUUGAACUGGCGUUCCAGCAGAGAUACGGCAACAUCAUCUCCUACAAAUGGUAUGGGGAUGGAUACAUCAUGAUCGGAUUUUCCCAUGGUUACUUUGUCGUUAUAUCCACACAUAUGAAAGAAAUAGGACAGGAACUGUUCCAAGCCCGGAACCAUAAAGACAAUCUGACCUGUAUCGCCAUCUCUACGUCUCUCAACAAGGCCGCAUCCUGUGGAGACAACUGCAUCAAGAUCCAUGACCUUUCUGACCUGAAAGAGAUGUUUGCCAUUAUCAACAUGGAGGAUGAGCGUGGCCUUGACGUUUUGAACUGGUCUGAUGACGGACAGCUACUGGCAGUGUCCACACAGAAGGGGAACCUCCAUGUGUACCUGACGCGCCUCCCCAUGCUGGCCUCGGCCCACCAGACCCGCAUAGCCCACCUGACCUCUCUUCUCGAGGUCACCAUAGAGGACAAUGUUCAGCAGCUAAAGGAAGCACUUGUAGACCAGCCAUUGACCAUUCCCAUUGAUGUGGAGCCCACAUUUAUAUGAAUCGGACCGUUCCACCUGGCCUGUGGAAUGAAUAACAGGGCCUGGUUCUAUCUGCUGGGAGAUGCAGGGAUAGAGAGGUUAAAGGACAGGGAAUACCUAGGGACGGUUAACCACAUUUGUCUGAAUGCCGACUACGCCGCUGUGGGCUUUGAGGGAAAAGUUCAGCUUCAUAUGAUUGAGGGAGAGACGGCGGGAACGACGGAUGAGCGUGAGACUCGUUUGUUUCCUGACUCCAGUCAAGACGACUUCCGAAUAACCUGUCAUGAUCUCACCAAUGACUUCCUUAUCUAUGGAUCUGAUAACGGUGGAAUUACAUAUUUCUAUGUGGAAGACUGGAAUUUUGUGAAUGAGUUCCGUCAUGUUGUGGUAUCGUGGUUACUGAUCAUAUUAAAAAAACUAACUUUGAACGUGUUUUUCAAAUCAUGCAUUCAAAUUCUAAAUAUAUUGAGCAUCUCCACUCCAAAGAGGACGGUGGCUCUAAAUAGCCACAGUCCAUUGCUACGGUCCUGGCCGGAAGAGUCUCACGGGGACCCUAGCGGAUAAGGAACGGUAACUCUGUUAGGUAUUCCUCUAUUAGAUUGUGUUACAGGCAAUGUUUUACCAGUGUGUGGAUUUCAAUUUGAGACUGAAAUAAUUUACAUCUUCUCAGAUAGUAAAAUCAUUAUAAAUAUAAAAAAAAAUAUAUGUGAAUAAAGCUUACAGCGUACGCAGUUAAGUACGUAGAACUGCUUAAACGAUGUAGAUGUGGGAGAAUUAGGAAAUUGUAUAUGAAUAGAAUAUUAUUCUUUGUUUUAUUUGACAAAAGAUAGCAAUGCGAAUGUCAACAGAUUGCGCAUAUACCGAAAGUCGGCGAUCUUGGAGUUUGAAGGAAAAGUGAAAUAAGGUUUUAUAAAUAAUAUCUAUUAAAUUAUGAUUAUGUGAUUGACCUGUGUGCAUAUAUUAAGAAUUGGUGUUUGAUUUAUUUAGCAUGCAUAUCAAAAUCUUUUAAAUCCACAAAGCAUUGAAGAAUGAGAAUGAAAAUAAAUUAUAAGUUGGUUUGCAGGUUUUUUUUAUUGUUCACGUUUCUUGUAUAACAUAUUUUACUAUCAUUUUUUUGUUCAUACAUGUUCAUGUAGUUUGUUUUGAUAGAUUAAGUAAUAUUUUUUGUACUUUGCUAUGCUGAUUAGUGUUCAGUAUUUACUUUUGUGAAUAAAUGUUUUCACCUU
rnacentral:sRNA from 1 species